ensembl:lncRNA
GGAGCAGUGGGCACUCUCUGAUGUCGAAGGUGGCAGCCUAACGUGCCACACCACAAUGGCGGACCUCACCCCCGUGGUUUCCAUGGCACUGCCAGGAAGAAAUGCAUCCCACAAUAGCAGGACUAACUGCAGAGUGUGUCUCGUCCUCUAGUCUGUUGAUGGAUGUCUCGACUUGUCACGAAGAUGCCUGGCCCAGUGCUGGAAACCCAUUGCUCCAUGAAAGCUACCAGACUGCGGACCCGCCAGCCUCCCAGUUCUCCCAGGGUGGACAAUAACUUGGCAAAACAAAGGAGUCACGAAUGAAAUGGUGGCGUUUCUGACUCAGCUAACACAGCGAUGGAAACAGAGAAAGUUCCUGUUUGCUGGGUCGCCCGGGUCUGAGUUCAGGCCAGGAGCUUGCAUGAGGCGAAGUCAACUCCCCUGCACCCCAGCUCCUUGGAAGAGCUGUCCAUCUGCUGUGCUGGAAGUGGGAGAGUGGAGAGUGUGAGCACCAGCCAGGAGCUAGGGCUCAAGCACCUUGAACUCUAAAGCCAGCUCUCGCGCCUUUCCCUCCCGCCGCAUUCAGAUCCCCACCAUGUCUGCUCUCGGAAUUGAGGACCAGACGCCUUCUUGACACUGAAGGUUCGGUUUCUGCACAAAGCGCACCCAAAAGAUGGAGGGAAGUGAAAGCUGGAACUGCCAAAGCCAAGUAUGUGGAAUCUGUGUGAUCAGCAAGGACGAAAAACAAGUACACAGACUCUUCACAGAUACGACUCGCCUUCGGAGUUAAUUCAGAACUAAUAAAGGCUGCAUAAUUCAUGCAGUCAUCAGUGGAACGCUCUGCAGACGCGUGUCACAUAUGGAAGUGAUGAACCGUCAUCCAGUGUCUAUGAAAGGCGAGGGAAGUUCAAAGGCGCAUCGCAAGCGGUGCUGGCGGGAUCAUUACGGGCCGGAAAUGGCCGAUACAGCAGAGCCCUAGCCAUUUGGUGCCAGCAUGGAAAAUAAAGGCUGGAACGGCAGCCAGAAGCACAGGAAAAACAGACUAUUCAUCCCGUUUCCACGACGUGGGCUCAUCACUGCAGACAACCAGCAGUGCAAACCAUUGAAGUCGUUCCAAGUUGAAAAAAAAUACCAUUUCUGUAGGUGGGCGUCAAGGAAACCUUUCAUGGACAUGUUCUACAUGUGAUACGGGCUACUUUUCAUGUCGGGGAGAGAUGACACCAGCAGUAUUUUGAAAGAGAUGUGAAACUCAGAGAGGUGGGUAGGCCAAAGGAAGCGUUCCCCCGGGAGUUCUCCCUCGCAGGGUCUUGUGCAGGGAGCCUAUUUGAAUAUUUGCAAGCCCUCCCCCUCCCCACCUUAAGAAAGCAUAGCUAAGGGGGAGGGAGAAGCCCAGGGAAGGGACUCAGGAAGUCCUUUUGAGACACUGAGUUCAAGGUUGUGUUUAUCUCAAGGAAGCUGGCACAGAGAGAAGGUUACCCGUGUAAGGAGCUUCUACUGCCACGGCUCCGGGGAACCCCAAGAACGAGGAAUCUAGGGGCUGCUGCUGAGUUGUAGGCCAGUCAGUCCAUCAAUCAAUUAAAGGCACAGGGUGGAAACCAAUUGCCAAGCAAAAAUAAGGCAACUCCAGAUGGUGGGUUUAGUCCUCAGCCAGAGGCCUGUCUGCGCCCAGGCCUGGGAGCCGCUGCAGGGCCGGGGGCUGGAAGGCAGGGAGAAGGGGCAAUCCUGCCAGCUUCGUGGCACGUGACCAGCACAGAGUCCGCGUGGCCUUCACCCAAGCGGCUAGCCUAGGAGGAGGAAAGGUCGCUUGUGCUCCUGUUCUGGAGGUUCACAGUCCAAGGUCAGGGGCCCCCUGGUUCGGCCUCUGGCGACAGCGCUCCUGCAGGCAGAGCCCUGGAGGCAGGAGCAUCCCGGGGCAGGAGGAAGCUCAUGCGUCUGUCGUUGUCUCUCCUUCCACAGCCACAGAAAUCAUUCACAGGGCCCCCGCCUAAUGACCUCACCCAGUCCGAUCCCCUCCCAGGGCCCCGCCUCCAAACAGCAGAACUGGAGUGCAUCUGCACCCUCUUAGUACCGCUAGCAGCGCAGGACUCUGGGGUACAAAGUCCUGUGUGAGUUCAGGCUCCAGCAGGCAGUAAAGCUUCUCCGGGA